rnacentral:rRNA from 1 species
AUUGAACGCUGGCGGCGUGCCUAAUACAUGCAAGUAGAACGCAGUUGCGAACGGGUGAGUAACGCGUAGGUAACUGCCUCAUAGCGGGGGAUAACUAUUGGAAACGAUAGCUAAUACCUCAUACUGUGAGUUGGACCUGCGUUGUAUUAGCUAGUUGGUUAGGUAAAGGCUCACCAAGGCGACGAUCCAUAGCCGACCUGAGAGGGGGAUCGGCCACACUGGGACUGAGACACGGCCCAGACUCCUACGGGAGGCAGCAGUAGGGAAUAUUGGACAAUGGACGAAAGCCUGAUGCAGCAACGCCGCGUGUAUGAAGAAGGCUUUCGGGUUGUAAAGUACUUUCAGCGGGGAGGCGUUACCCGAAGAAGAAGCACCGGCUAACUCCGUGCCAGCAGCCGCGGUAAUAC